CAGUCGCCGCGGGAAUACGAAGGGUGCAAGCGUUAAUCGGAAUUACUGGGCGUAAAGCGUGCGUAGGCGGUGAGUUAAGUCUGCCGUGAAAUCCCCGGGCUCAACCUGGGAAUGGCAAUGGAUACUGGCAAGCUAGAGUGUGUCAGAGGAUGGUGGAAUUCCCGGUGUAGCGGUGAAAUGCGUAGAGAUCGGGAGGAACAUCAGUGGCGAAGGCGGCCAUCCGGGACAACACUGACGCUGAGGCACGAAAGCGUGGGGAGCAAACAGGAUUAGAUACCCGAGUAGUCCCUGUCUCUUAUAU
rnacentral:rRNA from 1 species